UACGGAGGGUGCAAGCGUUAUCCGGAUUCACUGGGUUUAAAGGGUGUGUAGGUGGGCAGGUAAGUCAGUGGUGAAAUCCUGUAGCUUAACUACAGAACUGCCAUUGAUACUAUCUGUCUUGAAUACCCUGGAGGUGAGCGGAAUAUGUCAUGUAGCGGUGAAAUGCUUAGAUAUGACAUAGAACACCCAUUGCGAAGGCAGCUCACUACGGGAAUAUUGACGCUGAGGCACGAAAGCGUGGGGAUCAAACAGG
rnacentral:rRNA from 1 species